rnacentral:tRNA from 1 species
AAAAUCCUAGCUUAAUUAAAGCGUCUGGGUUGCAUUCAGGCGAUGCAGGGUAGUAACCUGCGGAUUUUA